rnacentral:rRNA from 1 species
AAAUCCGCUUUGAUAAUGCUGGGAUGUGAUGGGGAGCGAAAUUUAGUAGCGAAGUAGCUGAUUUCACACUGUCAAGAAAAGUCUCUAUCGAGGUUAAAGGUACCCGUACCGCAAACCGACACAGGUGGGUGAGGAGAGUAUCCUAAGGCCAGCGAGAGAACUGUUGUUAAGGAACUCGGCAAAAUGACCCCGUAACUUAGGGAUAAGGGGUGCCACCAUCAGGUGGCCGCAGAGAAUAGGCCCAAGCGACUGUUUACCAAAAACAUAGGUUUCUGCUAAGUCGCAAGACGAUGUAUAGGAGCUGACGCCUGCCCGGUGCUGGAAGGUUAAGGGGAUCUGUUAGAGCAAUCGAAGCAGUGAACUUAAGCCCCAGUAAACGGCGGCCGUAACUAUAACGGUCCUAAGGUAGCGAAAUUCCUUGUCGGGUAAGUUCCGACCCGCACGAAAGGCGUAACGAUUUGGGCACUGUCUCAACAACAGACUCGGUGAAAUUGUAAUUCCGGUGAAGAUGCCGGAUACCUGCGACAGGACGGAAAGACCCCAUGGAGCUUUACUGUAGCUUGACAUUGGGUCUUGGUACUACAUGUACAGGAUAGGUGGGAGGCUUUGAAACCAGGACGCCAGUUUUGGCGGAGC